ACAUUUUCUAGAACUUCUGUUACCUUGAACAUUUUAAAAUCGGAAACGUCAUUUAUUUUUGUAUGUACAGAUGUGUUCCGUUUAUUGUAUUCUUGUUUCCAUCCCUCAGUUUCAACACAUAGUUCAAUGAAUCGUUUGAAGUCACUAUCUUCAGCUACUUUAACUUCUCCAGACUGCAUUUUCUUGUGUUUUGUCACGAAAUCGUCUAUAAAACUACAAAUCAAAGCUUCUAUUUUGAUAACAACCACCUGUUUGUUGGUGACUUGUCACUUUUUACCGUAAAUUUUA
rnacentral:lncRNA from 1 species